rnacentral:rRNA from 1 species
CAGCCGCCGCGGUAACACGUAGGUGGCAAGCGUUGUCCGGAAUUAUUGGGCGUAAAGGGCUCGCAGGCGGUUUCUUAAGUCUGAUGUGAAAGCCCCCGGCUCAACCGGGGAGGGUCAUUGGAAACUGGGAAACUUGAGUGCAGAAGAGGAGAGUGGAAUUCCACGUGUAGCGGUGAAAUGCGUAGAGAUGUGGAGGAACACCAGUGGCGAAGGCGACUCUCUGGUCUGUAACUGACGCUGAGGAGCGAAAGCGUGGGGAGCGAACAGGAUUAGAUACCCCAGUAGUCCCUGUCUCUUAUAA